rnacentral:tRNA from 1 species
GUCUUGUUAGCUCAGUUGGAAUAGAGCAACUGCCUUCUAAGCAGUCGGUCGUAGGUUCGAGUCCUACACAAGACG